UGUUGCAAGAACGUCUAUGCAAUGCACGGUGCGUACGCGGUCGCCUUGGUGGCGCUUUGUGCCACCAACGCCGUUGUCUGGGCCAAGCUUGGUUCACCGGGAGGACCGCUGAAGCUGCCGCGCGACAUGAUUGACAGCUUCGAGACCCAACCAUCCUGGAGGGCAUUUUCUACUAUUCCACCAAGGACUGCGUCGUGAUGGACAUCGAGUAUCACGGACACCAAUGCCUCCUCUGGACACUCUGGAAGUUUAAAGACUCCGUGCCGCAAGACUGCAUCGACCAUUUCGUCGACACGUGCGGUGUCGUGCCUCCGGCGCACAGCAGAGACCUCUGCCCUGACGGCGAAGGAGACUACUAGGUCUACGAAACCAUAAAAGGCCUCCGAAACGUUCAGCCUGCGUGGUGUUGCGCAGCCCGAUCACGAAGGCUAUGAUCUAACGUUGUCGAGGGGGACGAUAAAAAAAAUUGACUCGCCAACAAACGCUCCGCCCGACUCUACCUCCGACAAGUGGGAGAAGAGCCUAAGAAGCCCGCUCCUACAAGACCAGCAAUGGGCCGUCCAGCAGGCUCGCGCAGCGGCCGCCAGGUAUUCCCUGUCGGUCCCUGUGUGGGAGACGCCCACUGCGCACUGACGUGCGUCCUGCAGGACUUUUAUUAAAGUUUUUCCAAUCCAAUCGCCAACCUGGCCCUACGAAAGUUGAUGUCCAGCGAAGCGGUUGAAAACCACCCCUGCUGCUUCUUAAGGGGUGUGUGCAAUGCUUGAUUGCUGAAUUCCUGCUCCGGCCCAUUAUUCAGCCACAGGGGUAUAUGGGCGUGCGGGUAUCUCCUGUGCUGUAAUUCCAAUACGACCAGCGGCGGCACGCUAACACUGGUCGUAUUGCCGUUUCUAUUCCCUUUGUCGCUCCUCGUAAUAAUGCUGCUCCUCGGGAGUUUUGUAAGAAUGAACUUUCAGCGGUUCCGC